rnacentral:rRNA from 1 species
UACGUAGGGGGCAAGCGUUGUCCGGAUUCAUUGGGCGUAAAGAGCUCGUAGGCGGCUUGGCAAGUCGGGUGUGAAACCUCCAGGCUCAACCUGGAGACGCCACCCGAUACUGCCAUGGCUAGAGUCCGGUAGGGGACCACGGAAUUCCGCGUGUAGCAGUGAAAUGCGUAGAGAUGCGGAGGAACACUGAUGGCGAAGGCAGCCUCCUGGGAUAACACUGACGCUCAUGCACGAAAGCGUGGGGAGCAAACAGG